rnacentral:rRNA from 1 species
UGGUGGAGUGAUUUGUCUGGUUAAUUCCGUUAACGAACGAGACUUUAGCCUACUAAAUAGUAAUUUGCUAUUUUAGUAAUAUUAUUUCUUAGAGGGACUUUGUAUGUUUAAUACAGGGAAGAUUGAGGCAAUAACA